AACGAACGCUGGCGGCAUGCCUAACACAUGCAAGUCGAACGAGACCUUCGGGUCUGGUGGCGCACGGGUGCGUAACGCGUGGGAACCUGCCUUUAGGUUCGGAAUAACUCAGAGAAAUUUGAGCUAAUACCGGAUGAUGUCUUCGGACCAAAGAUUUAUCGCCUUUAGAUGGGCCCGCGUUGGAUUAGCUAGUUGGUGGGGUAAAGGCCUACCAAGGCGACGAUCCAUAGCUGGUCUGAGAGGAUGAUCAGCCACACUGGGACUGAGACACGGCCCAGACUCCUACGGGAAGCAGCAGUGGGGAAUAUUGGACAAUGGGCGAAAGCCUGAUCCAGCAAUGCCGCGUGAGUGAUGAAGGCCUUAGGGUUGUAAAGCUCUUUUACCCGAGAUGAUAAUGACAGUAUCGGGAGAAUAAGCUCCGGCUAACUCCGUG
rnacentral:rRNA from 1 species